CGGCCUACAGACUACCAUCAUGGUCUACCGAGGUCAGCUUCUCUACGUUCCCCUGCAGAACCAGGAAGGACGGGGUUGGACAAAGAGAGGCAACUGUGAAAAAAGAAUUCAUCUAUGUAGGAGAGCUCAAGGAAGCAAGACAGAAACGCCAGCACACAGAGCUCCGCCUGACCUUUGCCCCCGGGGGUCCUGAGCCUUUGCUCUGCCUUGGCCCCGCCCUCUGACCCUCAGCACUGAUCAAUGUCACAUGACAUCUUCACUCCCAUUUGCUUCCUGCAUCUCGUGACCAAGAUCAGCUCAUAAUCAAACUGAACGUUUCUACUUCCUUGCCACCUGAUUUUAUCUAUGGAUCCUCCUACGGCCCUCAAUAUUCUGCCGGAAACAACU